ensembl:lncRNA
CCCAGGGGAGCUCAGGUGCAUGCAAUGUACCUGAGUGACUGGAAGGGAUGCAGCCAGGAUCCACCCCUUCCCAGAUCUCAUUAAAGGGUUGGUAGUGGAGGUGAGGGUAUCUUGUUGGAUGUCUCUGUAUGCCUGAGGCCUUCUGAUGGUCGUUCUGUCUGUCUCCGGGCAGAGGAAUGGCAUUCUUUUCUCUGCUGUACGACAGACCAUAAAUCCUGGUGAGUAUCGAUCCCAGUGGCCAAAGGCUGACAUUGCUUUGCCAAAGGGGAGUGCAGCAUGGCAUGUCGCUCCGGCACGGCGCGACGGAGAGGAGCUCUUAUUGAUUUCGCUCUGCGUCGCGAAGCCCUUCCCCUUUCCUGCAUUAAGGGCUAAUUUUAGGCUGAGAUGAUGUGAUAAUGGGGUUGUGCUCAUCGUGCUGCAAUUCCCGUCCACCCCUGGGUGCCACCACUGCGUCCUCCACUGUCCCCACCUCUCCUGCUCUGUCCCCAGAGGCUCUGCAUCCCCUCUCUCUUCCAAAGAAAGCACCAGAAAUAUGGAGGAAAUGGAGCCCCAUCUCAUCGUGCCCUGCUCACCCCAACCUGCUCCAUCCUCACUGCUCUCCUGCUCCCCUUGCGCAAGGGCUGGAGCUUAAAUGCAGCUCCAGGAGGUGCAGAGGGGGAAAUGCUGCUCAUUGCUGUGGUUUUUCACAGCUCUGCCAACCAAUGGAGCAGCAAUCAGAUCCAGCUGUGACCCAAAGACAUUGCAUGGGUUGGUGCCAUCCUGACCACAACCAUGGGGGAUGCCCAAAGUCUGCAGAUCAAGGAGGGGGGGAAACGCAUCGCCUCCACUUUGCAGAGCUCUGAAAAACUUUGGCAUGGGAAUAUGGAACGUUGAGGCACUUGUC